rnacentral:hammerhead_ribozyme from 1 species
AUCCAGAUGACGAACCCCGAAUGGGGCGAAACGCGUGUCCUGGAU